UUGGAGGGCAAGUCUGGUGCCAGCAGCCGCGGUAAUUCCAGCUCCAAUAGCGUAUAUUAAAGUUGCUGCAGUUAAAAAGCUCGUAGUUGAAUUUCGGGACCAUCAUGUCGGUCGUGCCUCGGUACGUACUGGCAUUGUUGGUUUCUCCCUUCUGACGAACCAUGAUGUCAUUUAUUUGGUGUUGUGGGGAAUCAGGACUGUUACUUUGAAAAAAUUAGAGUGUUUAAAGCAGGCUCACGCUUGAAUACAUUAGCAUGGAAUAAUGAAAUAGGACGUUUGAUUCUAUUUUGUUGGUUUCUAGGAUCGACGUAAUGAUUAAUAGGGAUAGUUGGGGGCAUUAGUAUUCAAUUGUCAGAGGUGAAAUUCUUGGAUUUAUUGAAGACUAACUACUGCGAAAGCAUUUGCCAAGGAUGUUUUCAUUAAUCAAGAACGAAAGUUAGGGGAUCGAAGACGAUCAGAUACCGUCGUAGUCUUAACCAUAAACUAUGCCGACUAGGGAUCGGAUGAUGUUAAUUUUUUAAUGACUCAUUCGGCGCCUUACGGGAAAC
rnacentral:rRNA from 2 species